CGAGCUUGAUGUGUCAUCCAAUAAGGAAGUGGGAGGUGUGGUCCACCUGCUGGUCUCCGCCCUCCCUGCGACACAAAUGAGGAGGCUGCCAUUCAACAGCUGCUACAUGAGCAACGAGUCCUUCACUGCUCUGGCCUGAAAUGGUGAAAACUUUGUGUUUAUGCAUCAGCCCUGGCGGUGUCCUAUCUGCGCACGGUGGAUAUUUCCUGGUGUAAAGUGGUUGGCGGUCACUUGGCGCUCCUGCUGGAUGCUCUGCAGCCAUCAGUCGUCAGCGAGCUCCGUCUUUGCAGCUGCGAGCUCACCACUGAUGACAUGCAACAUCUGGCUGCCGUGUGCAGACGGGGCUGUCUCUCCUCACUCCGUGCACUGGAUCUGUCCUACAACAGCUUGGUGGGAGACAACGGUUGGUGCAGUCU